rnacentral:rRNA from 1 species
CCUACGGGAGGCAGCAGUAGGGAAUCUUCCACAAUGGGCGAAAGCCUGAUGGAGCAACGCCGCGUGGGUGAAGAAGGUCUUCGGAUCGUAAAACCCUGUUGUUAGAGAAGAAAGUGCGUGAGAGUAACUGUUCACGUUUCGACGGUAUCUAACCAGAAAGCGCCGGCUAACUACGUGCCAGCAGCCGCUGUAAUACGUAGGUGGCAAGCGUUAUCCGGAUUUAUUGGGCGUAAAGGGAGCGCAGGCGGUCUGUUAAGUCUGAUGUGAAAGCCUUCGGCUUAACCGGAGUAGUGCAUUGGAAACUGGGAGACUUGAGUGCAGAAGAGGAGAGUGGAACUCCAUGUGUAGCGGUGAAAUGCGUAGAUAUAUGGAAGAACACCAGUGGCGAAGGCGGCUUUCUGGUCUGUAACUGACGCUGAGGUUCGAAAGCGUGGGUAGCAAACAGGAUUAGAUACCCUUGUAGUC